UACAGAGGUCUCGAGCGUUGUUCGGAUUCAUUGGGCGUAAAGGGUGCGUAGGUGGCGCCGUAAGUCAGGUGUGAAAUUUCGGAGCUUAACUCCGAAACUGCAUUUGAUACUGCGGUGCUUGAGGACUGGAGAGGAGACUGGAAUUUACGGUGUAGCAGUGAAAUGCGUAGAGAUCGUAAGGAAGACCAGUGGCGAAGGCGGGUCUCUGGACAGUUCCUGACGCUGAGGCACGAAGGUCAGGGGAGCAAACGGG
rnacentral:rRNA from 1 species